rnacentral:rRNA from 1 species
GACAGAGGGUGCAAACGUUGUUCGGAAUUACUGGGCGUAAAGCGCGUGUAGGCGGCCCUGCAAGUCGGGUGUGAAAUCCCACGGCUCAACCGUGGAAGUGCAUUCGAAACUGCAGGGCUAGAGUCCUGGAGAGGAAGGUGGAAUGCUUGGUGUAGAGGUGAAAUUCGUAGAUAUUCGCAAGAACACCAGUGGCGAAGGCGGCUUACUGGUCCGGUUCUGACGCUGAGGCGCGAAAGCGUGGGGAGCAAACAGG